GACGAACGCUGGCGGCGUGCUUUACACAUGCAAGUCGAACGGGCGCGCUCUUUUUUGGGGGGCGUGUUGAGUGGCGAACAGGUGAGUAUCACGUGAGCAACCUGCCCUCCUCUCGUGGAUACGCGCUAGAAAGGGCGGCUAAUACGGGGUGUUCCGGUUGGUCCGCAUGGGCUGGUCGGGAAAGGUUCAUCGUUGUGGUGUUUCGGUGGGGGAUGGGCUCGCGGCCUAUCAGCUUGUUGGCGGGGUGAUGGCCCACCAAGGCGGUGACGUGUAGCCGGCCUGAGAGGGUGGGCGGCCACACUGGGACUGAGACACGGCCCAGACUCCUGCGGGAGGCAGCAGUGGGGGGUAUUGCACAAUGGGCGGAAGCCUGAUGCAGCGAUGUCGCGUGAGGGAUGGAGGCCUUCGGGUUGUGAACCUCUUUCUCCGGUGGUGAAGGCCCCGCCCUUCGUGGUGGUGUCGACGGUAGCCGGGUAUGAAGCGCCGGCUAACUAUGUCCCAGCAGCCGCGGUAAUAUGUAGGGCGCGAGCGUUGUCCGGAAUUAUUGGGCGUAAAGGGCUUGUAGGCGGCCGGCCGUGUCCGUCGUGAAAUCCUUCGGCUCAACCGGGGGCUUGCGGUGGGUACGUGUCGGCUGGAGUGCGGUAGGGGAGGCUGGAACUCCUGGUGUAGCGGUGGAAUGCGCAGAUAUCUGGAGGAACACCGAUGGCGAAGGCAGGCCACUGGGCCGUCACUGACGCUGAGGAGCGAAAGCGUGGGGAGCGAACAGG
rnacentral:rRNA from 1 species